AUGAGUUAAGUAUAAACCCCUUAACAAGUAUCAAUUGGAGGGCAAGUCUGGUGCCAGCAGCCGCGGUAAUUCCAGCUCCAAUAGCGUAUAUUAAAGUUGUUGCAGUUAAAAAGCUCGUAGUUGGAUUUCUGUUAAUACUUGCAUGUGCUAUCUUCGAUACGCGUGUAAUAUUAGCAUCAUCCGCGUCACCUUGGGUGUGCGGAACUUUACUUUGAGAUAAUUAGAGUGCUUAAAGCAGGCUUUUGCCUUGAAUACUCCAGCAUGGAAUAAUAUGAAGGAUUUUUAUCUUUCUUAUUGGUUCUAAGAUAAAAAUAAUGGUUAAUAGGGACAGUUGGGGGCAUUUGUAUUUAACAGUCAGAGGUGAAAUUCUUAGAUUUGUUAAAGACAAACUAGUGCGAAAGCAUUUGCCAAGGAUGUUCUCAUUAAUCAAGAACGAAAGUUAGGGGAUCGAAGACGAUCAGAUACCGUCGUAGU
rnacentral:rRNA from 1 species